AACCCGAAUUCUUCACAUUACUCCUGCAGUAAUUCUCAUGAAGGAGAUCUGUGGAGUCAGCACAAGAACCUGUGGGACGUGCAUGCUGUCAGGGUGGGAUACAACUGUUGAAUUUAAUCUCAGAGUAAACAAAAUGAGGGAGAGAGGGCUGAUUGCAACACUCGUUUUCCCAUUGGCUGCACUAAAAACCUUUAAUUUAGCCAUGAAACUUCUGCUGAAUUCUUGUGUGCUGCACUGAGUUAGAAGUCUUACCUCAAAACUGACUCCAACUUUGCAAAGAAGUCUGCAGGAAUUUCUACCUAGCCGACCGCCGUCAUUUAUUUGAGCAGCUCAGUACAUAAUUAAGAAGCCCUGGAGCCUGGGACAGCCUUUUAUCUUGAAAAGUGGCUCUUCCAGACCCUACCAAUCCCUGCACCCAGCACUGGGUUUGGCCAGUGAGUAAUGGAAAAGCAAGGGAACGCCGAGGAAUCAAAGACAGUGUGCUGAAGAGAUGAGAAAGGACAAUACGAGUCAUGUUCUCACUGACCUCAACUCAGACAGGAGCUGCCGGCAGUAACAGACAUAUGGAGUAAUAAUUAAUGGCAGUUCUUGCAGUGCCCAACAGAAGCUGCACAACACUGGUUUUCCAUCUUUUGUUUCAAGUUUGUAUAAUCUCCACUGAAGGAAGCACAGGAGGAAAUAAGUGUGGGGGCAUGGCAAGAGUAGGGCAAAGCGAGCCAGCCCCAGGCAAUGGAACAGAAGAAUCUACAGCCCAUGAAGAUAAACACCACACAUGCUCUGUCCUGCUCCUAAGUGUUCUUCAUAAGCAUGUCUGUAAUCACAAUGAUGACUACCACUACUUCUCAAACUGCAGCCCAUUGUCAAUUAUUUUUCAUGAGCAACAACAUUAUCAUGACUAUUACAGGAUGAACAUGUAUGAUUGAUUCUUCACUUUCUUAAUUAAAUACUUAAUGAUACUAAUGAAUUAAAGUGGGCCACUCAUUCACAAGCACUUAUGGAAUCACAGAAUCAUAGAAUCGCUUGAGUUGGAAGGGACCCUGACAGGCCAUCUGGUCAAACUCCCCUGCAAUGCACAGAGACACCCACAUCUCCAUCAGUUGCCCAGCCUGACACUGAGUGCCUCCAGUUAUGGAACAUUCACCACCUCUCUGGGCAAUCUGUGUCAGUGCUUCACCACCCUUGCUGGCUCACAUCCAGCUUGCCAUCCACCAGUACCCCUAUCCACCAGGGAUCUGCAGCGUCCCUGUCCGUGUGAUGCAGGAGAUACAGAUCUCCAGCAUCCUGGAGCUGGUGCUGGGAGGUCAGGAGAGACACACAAAGGCAUCAGAGCAGUAAGACCUGUGUGUGUUUGUGUGCAUGGGCAGCUGCGUCCCAUGCAUGAUGCCCAAAUCUGGAGCUGAAACUUGACUUCUUGAAGAUGCCAAAGAGAAUAGAAGAGAAUGAGAAUGAGUCCAGCCAUAUUAUCAUCAUCCUCUUCUGCCUUCUCUUUGCACAUUGCACAGGAAUGUGGGUGACAUGGCUUAAUGGGCAUGGUGGUGAUGGGUCGGUGGCUGGACUUGAUGAUUUUAGUGGUCUUUUUGAACCUUAGUGAUUCUAUGAUUCUACAAAUUUGGUUCAUUUAGGCUAAAUAGCAAUCAUCCAGCACCUGCUGAAAAGUGAUUCCGCAACUCACCUUUGCGCCUCUUCAACGCCAGAUUUCCAUGCUGCCAGCACCGAUAUGGGGAUCAUGACAUACAUACCUGAGUGCUUGGGCUGCCCCCUGAGCUGUACUUGCAUUGAUUUCUGUGUAGUGUUGUACAAAAUGCCAUGCUGAGCCAUGGUGGCUGAAAGCAGCGGGCUUUUUUUUAGUGAUAUGAAAGGGAGUGACCUGCUUACCCUCAGUGCUGAUGGGUUUAACUCUGCAGCCUGUAUGAUAAGGUAGCUGUUGACAACUGACCUCAGCACGGGGCUCAGGCUCACACAUCUGUACAUGCAAUAAAAGCCCUCAACAGCUUUGCAUCUGCAGCUUGCACUGCCUCUGUCCGAUGAUGAUGCUUUUUUUUUUUUUAUCAUGCAGUGAAUGCAAAAGAUUAACACUUGGAAAUAAUGCUCAUGGGAGAGAAUUUCCUGAAGGGCUACUAGCUGCAGAAACAGCACUUCUGGCAGUUUGUGAGAACGGGGCUGGCACUCAAGGCAAUGCCACUGUUUGCCCUCUUAUACUCUUCUCCAAACGCUUGAUCCCUCGGUGUCAAUCCCUCAGCUCCAGUUCCUUUGCUGUAAGAAGGACCCAGGAUUGGCCAUGUCUGUGGAUCUUCUUUACUUCCCACCGUCUUGAAUCGGUGUCAUUUUGUGCAGUGUCUCAGCUUGCACCAACCCACCCAAUUCCUUUGAAGUCAAUGUGACUUCAGGGUGCAAGGAGCCACCCCAGGGCAUGGCUGAUCUCCUUUUUCAUGUACCAUGCAGUGCACAGACCGCAGUGUGCUGCAGACUGGGAAGUGUACCGAGACAAAAAAGCGCCAUUGUAUACGAGUUGGUGUCAAUUAACUCUAGGAACGUUUUGAAUAAAUUAAAUUAUGCUGCAAUCUGAAGCUAAACUGAUCCUUAAUUAAAAGAUAAGAUAUAUUUUUAAUCCUCGGGUGAUUUAAAGAAAAGAAUAAUGAAGUAUGGGAAUCAGAGUCACCUUCCUCAACGGUUGAGCAGUUUCCCUGAGCAAUGCAGUGUGACUUCAAAGCUGUCCCCUGCUAUAGCCCUGCCCUGAGCAGAGGAUUGGACAAGGUGACCUCCAGGGACAUCUUCCAACCCAAAUCGUUGCACGAUUCUCAGCUAUUCUGCUCUCAGCUUUUGGAUGCUGAAGGAUCAAGAUUUGGUUUGGAGACUAUUUGGAGAGCAAGUGUAACAAUGAAGGAUCACAGAAUCGUAGAAUCACCUGAUUUGGAAGGCACCAUUAAAGGCUACCUGGUCCAACUCUCCUUCAAUGAACAGGGUCACCUACAGCUCCAUCAGGUGCUGAAGAAUGGUGCAUCAGGAAGAAGAUGUUUACAACAAGGGUAAUGAAGCACUGGCACAGGCUGCCCAGAAAGGUGAUGGGUGCCCGAUCCCCGGAGACACUCAAUGUCAGGCUGGACAGUGCUCUGAGCACCCGAUGGAGCUGUGGGCUCCCUGUUCAUUGCAGGGGGUUUGGACCAGAUGGCCUUUCAGGGUCCCUUCCAACUCAAACGAUUCAAUGAUUCUAUGAUUUGUCUCAUUGUUGACCAGGGGAUGCGCCCUGCCUGGAGCUCCUAUAGCACAAAGUGAUAACUUAUGGCUAAAUACCGCACUGUAAGUGAGCAUAAAUCACUACAAAAAGCCUGGAAGGAAAGGCUUACAUAGGCACAAUAUAGCCCAUGGGAAGCAGUGGUUUUUGAGGCUGGGAGGAAUGAUCAAGCCUGAUACUUUCUUAUAAUGAUUUAGUAGCACUAUAACCUCAUUCACUUCACCUGAGCAACUCCCCCUUUAUGUCAGCUAUAAGAGAGAAGAAUAAGGCUGAACAGAAUCCUUUUCCCUCAGCAGCCCCGAUGCAGCACGUCUUUUUUUGUUGACUCCAACUCCAAUCUUCUUUUCUCCAUUAUUGAAAAGAUUCUUUCCAUCCAGUGCCUUUCACGGGCUGUUCUGCUGCAGUACAAUAAAGCACGUAUUUUAAAACACCGCCACAGAUCCCAAAGCUCCGCCACGCUCUGCAGCUGGGUCUGAUCCUUUGCUCAGAGCACAGAGUGGAGGAGGCCAAAGCACCCUGAUGUCAGCAGAGCUGCUCCCUAUGGCCACUACUUUUCCCAACAGCAAAUCAUGAUGUAGUUGGCGGAUAUCAUAGAAUCGUAGUAUCAUAGAAUGGCUUGGGUUGGAAGAGACCUCAAGGAUCAUCAAGCUCCAAUCCCCCUGAUGCAAGCAGGGCUGCCAACCUCCAUAUCUAAUACUAGACCAGGCUGCCCAGGGUCCCAUCCAACCUGGACUUGAACACCUCCAGGAACGGGGCAUCCACAGCCUCUCUGGGCAAACCGUGUCCUAUUAUAUCCUAAGAGCUCAGUUAUUUUGUACAUUUAUUGCUCUCAGGUCUCAAAGCUGUUGCAAUAAGCAACGUUCAGCCAUUCAAGAGGUUGCGUUUUUGCCUUCGGGAAACAGUAUUUUUAUGCAUUUUUAUUUAAGUACAUAUCUUCCCCAGUCAGUAAGGCUCUUAUGGGCAUACUCAUAAAACGGAUCAGGACAGGCAUUCAAAGAUAAAGCUGUACCAACCCAAACAUGGAAGGUUUCAUUUUUAGGCUUCUACUCCGAAUAUCAGAACUCACACCAUCUUCUCACAGAUACGAUGAAAAGUUUCCCUUUUGUUCGGUGUCUCAGAAUUUCCAAAAGGAAAAUCACAAAGCCAGCCCAAAAAUUCAUAAGGAACACAUUAUAUGCUGCUCCCUUCCCGAGAACGCCGUAGAUUUAGGAUAAUUGCUUGUUUCUGUACUUCUGUGGGCAAAAGAAAUAAUAAAGAAAACUACUGCAGUAGUCUGUGCGCAUUUAACUGGAGUCUGGCCUGAGGAAAGGCUGAAGGAUUACGAUUUUAACAUCACUUAAUUUCUUUAGAUUAUUUUGACAUGGGGCUGCGUGGUUUGCAGCUGUGUGUUCGGUUUCGUGGUUG
ensembl:lncRNA